UAUAUAGCGACGACCGACAACCAAGAUGCCGAAGGCCAAAAAGCUGAACUCAAGGCUACAAAAACGCUUCAAAGUCCACAAAGCAAUUGGUGGGAGGAGGUUGUGUUGCUCUGGCUCUACCUAUCUGGCGGGGAGAGGAGGUCGUAUUGCUCUGGCUCUAUCUGUUUGGCGUGGAGAGGAGGUCGUGUUGCUCUGACUCUAUCUGUUUGGCGACGCUGGGAAGCUGCUUGACAUCCUCC